rnacentral:rRNA from 1 species
GAUGAACGCUGGCGGCGUGCCUAAUACAUGCAAGUCGAGCGAACAGACGAGGAGCUUGCUCCUCUGACGUUAGCGGCGGACGGGUGAGUAACACGUGGAUAACCUACCUAUAAGACUGGGAUAACUUCGGAAAACCGGAGCAAAUACCGUUAAAUUAAUUGAACCGCAUGGUUCAUUAUUGAAAGUGGGUUUUCCUGUUCUUUUACGACGGUUCCGCGCCGCAUUAGCUAGUUGGUAAGGUAACGGCUUACCAAGGCAACGAUGCGUAGCCGACCUGAGAGGAUGAUCGGCCACACUGGAACUGAGACACGGUCCAGACUCCUACGGGAGGCAGCAGUAGGGAAUCUUCCGCAAUGGGCGAAAGCCUGACGGAGCAACGCCGCGUGAGUGAUGAAGGUCUUCGGAUCGUAAAACUCUGUUAUUGGGGAAGAACAAAUGUGUAAGUAACUAUGCACGUCUUGACGGUACCUAAUCAGAAAGCCACGGCUAACUACGUG